AGAUGAGAAAAUAACUAUUUAAUACGAUCAAGUAAACUUCUCCAUUGUCGAGUAAAUAGAAAACGCAACUGUCGUAACACAAUUGCAGUAUUGCACCAUCUACCUAUAUAGGCUAUUAGCAUAAGCAAGAGAUGAUACGAACUGAUGCACUGCGGCACGAAGCAUUGAUUAUUUGCUUAUAUGCACUACUAAAAUGCCCCUCACGGCCUUACUCUUACAAAUAUCGAAAAGCCUGGCUUCUUGGAUCCCGCGGCAAUGACUGGAGGACAUCCUGGAGUCCGAGAUCCGCUACUCUGUCGUCAUUCUGACGAGCUGAAUCCAUGCCGCCGUCUCCAUCAAUAUUCGGUUCCGGAAGCUCUGCCGCGGGGAUAACAGCUUCCUCGUUCGGAAGCACUUCUCGUUUCCACGAGUCUUCUGUUUCGAAAAUCCUUGAGUUCGCGACGGUUGGUUAAUGUUUUCAAAUUCGUCCCACGAUGCAUGCAACCAACCACAUACUCAAGAUUUUCACAUGGCAAGUUGAAAUUUUAUUCAAGAUUGUCGACUCUGUCAGUUAUCCAAAAACCCGAACGGGAUCACGCAUGCAAACACUGCACAGCACAGCGCAUUCAUGAUAAAUAAGUACUGAUCGCCCAUAAUGCCACAGAUCACAUACAGGAUUAAUCAACAUUAAACACCACCAAAAACAUCAGCAAUUUGGGCUACGUUGGACGGCUGUCCACGAUCCACUCUGUACGGGUUGUCACGACCCAUGAUAGUGUCAAACAAUUCGCGCCAAUCACUAACACGACCGUGGAACCAUCCCACAUCAUCCAGAUAUUCGUCCUCGUCCGACAGGAAAUAAUCGUCAUCCCCAUAGAAUAUGUCGUCAUCACUGUCUUCAUCCGAUAAAUCCAUAAAAUCAGCCAGCACGUAUGUAGUCGGCAAGGAUACUCCUCUGGAGCCAACAACGCGCCGCCUGGGCUUUGGAUCCGGAACUGCAAAGGGUAGUAUAUUAUUUUAAUCAUAAUUAUUAUUAUUAUUACAGGUAUUAUCAAACUAAGUAUACAUAAACCGUAACGACAUCCAGCGACUUACGGGUUACGGGAGUACCAUCCGGUAAUGCAUGCAAAAACCAACAUUUUCCACCGAACGGACAUGUUCCACGACCUUGAUUGUAAUGUUUGCACGGGCGUUUUCUAUAAAAAAUUUUAUUUUGCUUCUCUACCGUAUGUUACCAAUAAGACGUCUCAACCCAAAUUACCCCAUCUGUUUCUUAUACGCAGUUAUAAUUUCCGUUUUGUGCUUUUCGGUUUCCGGCCACAUCAGGCUGGGGAUUACAUAAUCAGAAUGGACACGACAUUCCGGGCACGAUCUAAAAUAAAUACACCAUCUUUGUCCGCAUGAAAUUCAUGUGGAUGUAACU